CCUCUAUAUAAACACUCACACUGGGAGCUCAUCUCAGACUACCUGAAGCUGCCACUCACACUCACACACUGAGCCCUGCUGGACCUGGAUACUUACUGCUACUUUGUAUCUGUGUGAGUUGGGGCUGUCACAGUGGAUGUGGCUCCUGCCAGGGUGCUGACAGUCCCUGUUUGUCUCCUAGGUGCUGCCCCCAUGCAGGGCUGAUCUGGCUCCUGGUCCCAGCAGACUGUGCCCACCCUCCUCACCAUGCUGUUUGAGAGCUUUGACCUGGUGUCUGCUCUG